rnacentral:rRNA from 1 species
CAGCAGCCGCGGUAAUACGAAGGGGGCUAGCGUUGUUCGGAUUUACUGGGCGUAAAGGGUGCGUAGGCGGAUUGUUAAGUCAGGGGUGAAAUCCCGAGGCUCAACCUCGGAACUGCCUUUGAUACUGGCGAUCUUGAGUCCGGGAGAGGUGAGUGGAACUGCGAGUGUAGAGGUGAAAUUCGUAGAUAUUCGCAAGAACACCGGUGGCGAAGGCGGCUCACUGGCCCGGAACUGACGCUGAGGUGCGAAAGCGUGGGGAGCAAACAGGAUUAGAUACCCCCGUAGUCCCUGUCUCUUAUAC